rnacentral:rRNA from 1 species
UACGGGGGGGGCAAGCGUUGUUCGGAAUCAUUGGGCGUAAAGGGCGCGUAGGCGGCUUGGUAAGUCCGUUGUGAAAUCCCUCGGCUCAACCGAGGAACUGCGACGGAUACUGCUUGGCUUGAGUCCCGGAGAGGGUAGCGGAAUUCCCAGUGUAGCGGUGAAAUGCGUAGAUAUUGGGAGGAACAUCGGUGGCGAAGGCGGCUACCUGGACGGGUACUGACGCUGAUGCGCGAAAGCUAGGGGAGCAAACAGG